UGCUGCAAGGAGGAAGGGACAGGAGUUCUAGCAAGGGACAGACGGGGUAAGAUGGGCUAGGGACAGGAAGAAGUGAGCUGGAAGUGCAGAAAGAAAGUAGAAGAAGGAGAGAAAGAGCCAGAGCUGUGUGGAGCUACUCAUGGGACUGCAAUAUGUAAAAGGUUGAGGUGCAGUGGAGAUGGAGCCCAGUGAAGCUGAGAGCAGCAGGUGAAGCUGCCAGUCCGGACUUGAUUUUUGACACCUAGAGUACAGAUGUUCUUCAUCUGGAUUGAAUUUGAUCAUGGAUGCUUGUCUUCAUGCAUAAUGAUUCAAAGCUAAAGGAUGAAAGUGUUCUUGGAGCAAAGAAAACACAUUCUGAAUCUUUACUGUAAAUUAUACACUAUACAAAAUCAGUCCAAAUUGUUCAAACCCUUGGACAAUUACAAUGUUAUUCUACUCACCAUGCUGAGUACUGUAUAAUUAUCAUGGUUAGCAGCAGUUUGCUUGCUCUUAGUCCUGAAGGGAGAUACAAGCUUUACUGAACAAGAAAUAAAAGCAGAUGUUAGACCUUAUUUUGUUUUCUGACUCAGCAACUGAAAAUACCCACAAAAUCUGAAGGCUUUUUUCCCCAUUUAUUUAAUUCAUAUAGCAUUAACAAAAACACUCCUAUUGAUCAAAUAUUCACUGUGCUGUACAUAAUGGGUAGUGUGGUUAGUUGCAUGAUUAAAGAAUUUGUGAAGUUGCAACCCCCAGCUUCAUUUGUAAAAAGAAAGAAAAAAAAUCAGAGAUAUUGUUCCCAGAGAAGGAAGAUCCAAUUAACAAGAAACAUUUCAUUGGUUUUCUAGUUUACAAGAUCACCCUUCUCCUAUUAAGUCAAUGAUAGAUUUAUUUGCAUAGUUAAGCAUGCAGGAAACAUACUUCACAUUAAGUCUGUUUGUUUUGUUGGGUUAGUUUACACAUCCUCUUCACAAAGAUGACCAGUCUUCCUUAUGAAAAGUUUUCCAGUAGAAUUAAAUUCCAAGGACUUUCUUGGCUUAUGGGCCAAGCUUUUGAAUCUUGAUAAUUUUUGUGUAAUUGUUUUAAGCCUUUAAUCUAAAUGCCAGAUAUUUCUGCAAACUUUGGGCGGUCCUACUGUUUACUUGAUGUCAAAACUUGGAGCAAAUGGAUCAGGAAGCCAGUAAUAGGAAACACUUUUGGCUUGACCAGUUAGAGGAGGA